rnacentral:rRNA from 1 species
AUCCAUGGCCAUGCCACCCUGAACAGGCUUGAUCUCGUCUGAUCUCAGAAGCUAAGCAAGGUCGGGUCUGGUUAGUACUUGGAUGGGAGACCAUCUAGGAAUACCAGGUGCUGUAAGCG